rnacentral:rRNA from 1 species
GAGUGCGUGUCCUAUCAGUUAGUUGGUGAUGUAAUGGCUCACCACGACUAAGACAUGUAUCCGGCCUGAGAGGGUGUACGGCCACAUGGUGACUGAGAUACGGUCCUGACUUCUACGGAAGGCAGCAGUGACGAAUAUUGCGCAAUGUGGGAAACCCUGAUGCUGAGACGCCGCGUGGGGGAUGAAGUCUUUCGAGACGUAGACUCCUUUUAAGUGGUACGAAACAGCGGGCAGUUAAUACCUUCCCGGCUUGACGGUACCACUUGAAUAAGCCCCGGCUAAGUACGUGCCAGCAGGCGAGGUAACAGGUAGGGGGCAUGCGUUGCUCGGAUUCACUGGGUCUAAAGGGCUCGCAUGCGGAUAUCUAAGUCUUGAGUUAAAUCUACAGGCUCAAGUUGUAGCUGUCUGAGAAACUGGAUGUCUUGAGGAAGAGAUAGGAAAGAGGAAUUCCCGGUGUAAGGGUGGAAUGUGUAAGAUAUCGGGAGGAACAACUAACGGAGAAGGCUAGUUUCUGGCUCUUAGCUGAUGCUCAGGAGCGAAAGCGUGGGAAGCAAACAGGAUAAGAUACCCUGGUAGUCCAUGCCCUAAAUGAUGGGUGCUAGGUGUCGGGAUAUAAA